AUUGAACGCUGGCGGCAGGCCUAACACAUGCAAGUCGAACGGUAACAGGAAGCAGCUUGCUGCUUUGCUGACGAGUGGCGGACGGGUGAGUAAUGUCUGGGAAACUGCCUGAUGGAGGGGGAUAACUACUGGAAACGGUAGCUAAUACCGCAUAACGUCGCAAGCCCAAAGAGGGGGACCUUCGGGCCUCUUGCCAUCGGAUGUGCCCAGAUGGGAUUAGCUAGUAGGUGGGGUAACGGCUCACCUAGGCGACGAUCCCUAGCUGGUCUGAGAGGAUGACCAGCCACACUGGAACUGAGACACGGUCCAGACUCCUACGGGAGGCAGCAGUGGGGAAUAUUGCACGAUGGGCGCAAGCCUGAUGCAGCCAUGCCGCGUGUAUGAAGAAGGCCUUCGGGUUGUAAAGUACUUUCAGCGGGGAGGAAGGGAGUAAAGUUAAUACCUUUGCUCAUUGACGUUACCCGCAGAAGAAGCACCGGCUAACUCCGUG
rnacentral:rRNA from 1 species